rnacentral:rRNA from 1 species
GUGGCGGACGGGUGAGUAACGCGUGGAUAACCUGCCUCAUACAGGGGGAUAACGGAGAGAAAUUUCCGCUAAGACCGCAUAAGACCACAGCACCGCAUGGUGCAGGGGUAAAAUAUUAAUAGGUAUAAGAUGGAUCCGCGUCCGAUUAGCUUGUUGGUGAGGUAGAGGCUCACCAAGGCGACGAUCGGUAGCCGGCCUGAGAGGGUGAACGGCCACAUUGGGACUGAGACACGGCCCAAACUCCUACGGGAGGCAGCAGUGGGGAAUAUUGGACAAUGGGGGAAACCCUGAUCCAGCGACGCCGCGUGAGUGAAGAAGUAUUUCGGUAUGUAAAGCUCUAUCAGCAGGGAAGAAAAUGACGGUACCUGACUAAGAAGCCCCGGCUAACUACGUGCCAGCAGCCGCGGUAAUACGUAGGGGGCAAGCGUUAUCCGGAUUUACUGGGUGUAAAGGGAGCGCAGACGGCAAUGCAAGUCUGAAGUGAAAGGCGUGGGCUCAACCCAUGAACUGCUUUGGAAACUGUAUAGCUUGAGUGUCGGAGGGGUAAGCGGAAUUCCUAGUGUAGCGGUGAAAUGCGUAGAUAUUAGGAGGAACACCGGAGGCGAAGGCGGCUUACUGGACGACAACUGACGUUGAGGCUCGAAGGCGUGGG